GGAUGCUGCCCUAGAACGCAUACUAGUCCAGUUUACAGAGCCAAUAAUAUAGGCACUUGAGAAUGUGAGUUAUCCAUUUAUCUACUUCACAUAAAUUGCACAGUAUUUUACAAUCUGCACUAUAUUAUAUUUGUUAUCUUAUAUAUCUGUAUUCAAUGUAUACGAUUCAAUCAAAUCACUCAUAGCGCUAAAUUCUUUUGUUUUGUUUUUUU